rnacentral:rRNA from 1 species
AGAGUUUGAUCCUGGCUCAGGACGAACGCUGGCGGCGUGCUUAACACAUGCAAGUCGAACGGAAAGGCCCUUCGGGGUACUCGAGUGGCGAACGGGUGAGUAACACGUGGGUGAUCUGCCCUGCACUUUGGGAUAAGCCUGGGAAACUGGGUCUAAUACCGAAUAGGACCACGCGCUUCAUGGUGUGUGGUGGAAAGCUUUUGCGGUGUGGGAUGGGCCCGCGGCCUAUCAGCUUGUUGGUGGGGUAAUGGCCUACCAAGGCGACGACGGGUAGCCGGCCUGAGAGGGUGACCGGCCACACUGGGACUGAGAUACGGCCCAGACUCCUACGGGAGGCAGCAGUGGGGAAUAUUGCACAAUGGGCGCAAGCCUGAUGCAGCGACGCCGCGUGAGGGAUGACGGCCUUCGGGUUGUAAACCUCUUUCAAUAGGGACGAAGCGCAAGUGACGGUACCUGGAGAAGAAGCACCGGCCAACUACGUGCCAGCAGCCGCGGUAAUACGUAGGGUGCGAGCGUUGUCCGGAAUUACUGGGCGUAAAGAGCUCGUAGGUGGUUUGUCGCGUUGUUCGUGAAAACUCACAGCUUAACUGUGGGCGUGCGGGCGAUACGGGCAGACUAGAGUACUGCAGGGGAGACUGGAAUUCCUGGUGUAGCGGUGGAAUGCGCAGAUAUCAGGAGGAACACCGGUGGCGAAGGCGGGUCUCUGGGCAGUAACUGACGCUGAGGAGCGAAAGCGUGGGGAGCGAACAGGAUUAGAUACCCUGGUAGUC